UCAGGUGUAGUUUAGUGGUAAAACUACAGCCUUCCAAGCUGUUGUCGCGAGUUCGAUUCUCGUCACCCGCU
rnacentral:tRNA from 1 species